rnacentral:rRNA from 1 species
CCCUUAGACGUUCUGGGCCGCACGCGCGCUACACUGACACAGGCAACGAGCUUUCCUUUACCGAAAGGUAUGGGUAAUCUUUUGAAACUGUGUCGUGCUGGGGAUAGAUCCUUGCAAUUUUUGAUCUUAAACGAGGAAUUCCUAGUAAGCGCGAGUCAUCAACUCGCGUUGAUUACGUCCCUGCCCUUUGUACACACCGCCCGUCGCUACUACCGAUUGAAUGGUUUAGUGAGAUCUCUGGAUUGACGCUGGCUAGGGGGCGACCCUUGGCCAGACUGUUGAGAAACUGCUCAAACUUGAUCAUUUAGAGGAAGUAAAAGUCGUAACA